CUCAUUUUGCACCGGGGCCCAAUGCAAUGGCGUAUAACGUAGAUAUGGGGGAGUACUGGCGGUAAUAACCCCCACCCCUCCGAAAAAUUUUCCAGAAUAUGAAAUUUCAGGAUUCUCACCCAGGAUUACUCUCCCAAGAAAAAACUGUCUACGCCCUUGGCCCAAGGUUACAUAGCAACGCCAAUUCGUGAAUACAAAAAUCAUAUAUCUUUGUUAAUUGUUAGAAAAUAUCGUUUACGAACAUAUCCGUGUCUUAGAAUGUCAUAAAUACAAAAAUCGUGACUCACCUAAUAUUUUCAAUUACUCUUCUAAUUCCAAAUUCAAUUAUCACCACGAUAGUUAUCUUGAUAUUCAAUGAUCCAGUACUGAUUCGUCUUGCUCUUUGCAAACAUGAAUUACUGUCGAAUAUUUCUUGUCGUAACGUUACUAGUGAUUUUAGAUCAUAAUUGUGAAGCUGUUAGAAGGCCUAUAUCGAAUGUGAAAUCACCAAAAUUUUCGGAUUCGCCCAGAAGAUGUCCUGUAGGACAAAUUUUCGAUAACGCAGGAAUGUGUGUUCAACCAUUCGAAUGAAGACGGCUAGCGGACAACAUGGACUCCCAUGAAAAGUAGAAUACAUAUUCGUGUUUCAAUAGAAUGUUUAAAUAAACAGUAAUAAUAAUA